GGUUCUGUAGUGUAGUGGUUAUCACGUUUGCUUUACACGCAAAAGGUCCCCGGUUCGAUCCCGGGCAGAACCA
rnacentral:tRNA from 1 species